AAGGGCAUACGGGCUGUGAUGGCAGAACAGCUCCUUACGAUGAAACUUCAGAAGCCGAAGGAGCGCACUUUGGUGCUGUUACCAAUCUCGACGGACCCGCGCUCCAUCACGCUCGUGGCCGGCAAGUGCGAAGGUGCCCACCAUUGGGAACAACCGGCCGUCGUUGAAUCCGUGGCUCGACAGCAAGCGUCGGGCGACGCGGGCGACGAGGCUUCGACUGGUCCGCUGCCUUCCACAUCGAAUCCAAGGCUCUCCGUGGCCCGCUGGACAGUAGUGGUUGAGCGAUGUGUCGUAGCGAGUGCUGCCGCCCUCGUCGUCAUCAUCUUUGUCUUCGGCUUCGGCUCAUUCGGAGACCAUAGCGGGGAUGGACGCCGCCAUUCCCCUGCUAAUCUUCCGGCUGCCUCAGGCUCGAACCAAGGACUAAGGGCAGUUCGAGUAGCGCGCGACGAACUUUCUCUACUUCGCAACUGGAGCUUCGUCUUGACAUUCUGGCACGAAGACCAAAACAACGGAACGCCCGCCAACGACAGUGCAUUCUUAGCAGCUGGCGACAGUGAAUACGACGAGGCGAAGGCAGGAAUUUCGUUGAAUAUCACGCUGGACGGCAGAUCAUAAUUUAUGCUUUUCCGCUUGCACAAAGGUGUACAUAGGUUCUGACAUUCCCGAGGCGCCGAGUGUUCGAGGUCGGUAAGGAGGUGUGCUCUCUUAGUAAAUAGAAGUGCAGCCAGUCUCCAGAUCUUCAGAUCUUUAACCUACUCUUUUCUUUAGUUUUGUUUCUUUACUGAAAUCUCCGCGGAAUCUAGAUUGCUAUAAGGAAAUAAAACAAAGUAAAUAUACG